UCUAGCAUCACAAGUAUUAGAGGCAAU
rnacentral:piRNA from 1 species